AUGGGAGUGGGGGUUGGGAACAAGGGAUGGAGAUGAGGCCAUGAUUCUGGAAACGCGUACAGAUUUAGCUAAACUUGGUAGAAUUGCAACUCAAAUCUGAGUCUACCACCCAAAGUUUGCUUCCUGAUCGAAAUCCUAAUGUUGUGUUGUGGUUGGUUGAAACCCUAAUUUGUCUUUGCUCGUCGUCCCGUAAACUUGCACUUUUGCGCAGCGAUUCCGAGGGCAUCGCAGUUACCCGAAAGAUCAGGUUAACCAGACAACAUGUUUCGUUCAUCCGAUCACCCGGUUUGGUGGAAGGGACAAUGAGGUGUGAUUGAUUGGAAAGAAGAAACCUUUGGUAGUGAACCUUUGGUAGUGAAAAAUGGCCGAGUCGAUGAGGAUUGGACCCACAGAACCGAAUGCGGGCGAUUGCGAUGCAGACGCUCGUGGGAAUUGUUGUCAUAAUUGGGCGUGUCGAAGGAGGCCAGGGACCUUGUGACCAUGCACGUCUGUGCCAGGCCCCGGAUGUGGCGUCUCAGACCCUAUGCUGCUUGUUUGCUUUACAACGACUGUCUGAAUGUGAUGAGUUUAUGAUUUCAAUAUUGUUCAUGAUUCCUGUUCUUAAAUGCACCCCAAGGAUUACGUGUGACGGUAUGAUGAGGAACGUUGGUCAUAAAGUUCGCGUGUCGUUAGUUGCGGAACGGGGCAACCGCACAAGACGACGUUGAGGGUGUAUUGCUGAACUUGGAGCUGGAGACAGUGAAGAAAUCAAUCACGAGGGCGGUCAAAGCAAUCGUUGAAGAGAGAGGCUUUUGUGUGGACCAUGUUCCUGUAUGGUUCCUUUUGAAAAGAUUCAAUCCCCAGGACGAUCUCGUGGCUCAUGGUGACGAUGGGGUCCGAGCAUGGCGAGAGGUGGAGGUCGUAUUGGGUGAGAGUGGGUGACCGGCCGACAGUGGGCGUCGUGGUGACGUUUGCUUGGAUGUUUAGCAAGCGGCAGCACCUUGUGCCGUAUACUCGUCUCUACGGUGCUUCGGGCUGCGACUCGCUCGUUUGCCACCCAUCUGUGCUCAAUUUAUGGUUUCCUAGCCGCGCUGAAGCACUGGCUGUCCAAAUCCUCGACGAGCUUGCCAAGGAGGUUAAGGACAACCCACGACCCAUUGUGUUUGCUACUUUCUCUGGGGGAGCGAAAACAUGCUUGUACAAAAUUUUACAGAUUUUACAAGGCACGGGAGAGACAGGCUCACAAUAUGCUGGGAAAUACCGGGCUGUCGAGACGUGCGUGCGAGGGCAAGUUCACGAUUCCAGUCCAAUAGAUUUUGUUAGUGCCUUGGGUGCUCGUUUCGCAAGCUUUACUGUAUCCCAAAUGUUAGGAUGGUCAAAUCCUGUUGUGCCUGCAAUAUCACACGCUGUGGCGAAUGUUAUGGAUUUUUUUUUCUUGCCGGCAUAUGAACUUCAGCGAGCAGAUUUCUGGCUCACUUUGAAACAAUCCUCGAAACUGGGGCCGUUUCUGAUCUUUUGCUCCACAAAUGAUCACCUAGCACCAUAUAACACCAUCAACGAGUUUGCUACGGUUUUGAGGGAAUUGGGUGGUCAAGUUGAUCUUGUUGUAUGGGACACUUCAGAUCACGUUGGCCAUCUUCGCAAUUAUCCGAAGGAGUAUCAUGGUGCAGUGAAGUCUUUUUUGGAUCGAUGUCUCAAUGUUUCUAAUACAUACGAUCUGAAGGGCAUAUCAAACUCGGUGUCCUUACAAGACCAGUUUGGUCUAACGAGGAAUCUGCUCAUCAAUUCUAAAUUGUGACAGUGAACGCCUUUAGACGGGAGGUAUAAAGUUAUGUAUCUAGAUCGUUGUAACAAGUGGUUACAUUGCUGAGAUGCUAAAUUUCUGUUGUACUCUGAAUAUCACAUAGGAUUGGUUCCACAUUUAGUAAGAAGUAAUUUGACUCUCGUCCUUAUAUCUUUGAUAACUGAAGGGGUUGUGUGAAGAGUGCAAGAGUGCGAAGAGGCACGCAGUCUCUCAAAGACUCAUCAUGAGUGCUUUCUGAGAUACUAAGAAACGAAAUCUCCAUUGAAAUGUAGGCGAGGAGGACGCAAAGGCCGUGGCCGAUAAACCCUGUACAACAAAACCUGUCCUGUACACAUCGAACGUUGGUGUUGUGGUGUUAAGGCCUAGUCGGAUUAACAUUUUGAGAAACAGUGAUUCAUGUCAUAGUAUCUAUCACAGUUAUCAUUCUGGAGUUUAAGUUGUCUCUGUAAGAAUCUGGUAUUUGUCUUUGGUAUAGCGAAACAGUUGUUGGUGUCAAGGGACAGAUAGAAACUUCACGCGAACACGUAUAGAGGGAUACGAACAGGUCCAGGGGAACAUCUUCCCAUCUUUCUUUUCGCCUUGGAAAUGUUUACUGUGACAAUACUUUGGUUAAAAUGAACAAUUGAUGGUGGAUAAUACUUAAUGCUAAUCAUGCUCUCAAAUAUUUUAAAGCGGA